AGGACCAACUGCUAACAUAUAGAUCCUGGAGGUUCAAAUCUUUUUGUUCAAAAAAGUACACAAGGUCAGUGGGGCCUGCUCACAUCUGAAGAGCACAACACAGUCAUAAGCUUUGCAGUAAAGGAUCACCUAAAGAUUUUAUCAUCCCAAGACAGCAGGAAGUAGUUUUAAGAACAGAAUGUCCACAUUUCCAAGAGAUGGGGCAAAAAGGGGAGAUAUGGUGAUAUAUUGCUUGUAAUCUGAGAAAUAAACCUUGCCUGAAGAUCACUUAAGGAUGCUUGCUGCUCUUCCAAAGGACUCAGGUUUCAUAGUAUGAGUGUAGUGUGGAUAGCCAUUCCAGCUUUGAUCUGGAAGUUCCAACCUCCAUUGAGGCUUUGGUAACUGUCACACCUACAAGGCAGGGCCAAGAGAGGACCCUGAAGACCCGAGAUUCGGAUGCACUGGCUCUCCUGGUUCCUAGACCCUGGACGCUGGAGGUAGACCGAGCAGAGUUCUCCAGAGAACACCUCCGGACUGCGCUACAUCUUCCCCAUACCCUGCAACCUACCUAUCCCUUCAUUUGUAAGUUACACACCUAAAUAAACCUCCCUUUUAACUACA